UGCUGACGCUAAAGCUCGAAGGUGCGGGUAUCGAACAGGAUUAGAUACCCUGGUAGUCCGCACGGUAAACGAUGGAUGCCCGCUGUUUGCGAUAUAGUGUGAGCGGCCAAGCGAAAGCGUUAAGCAUCCCACCUGGGGAGUACGCCGGCAACGGUGAAACUCAAAGGAAUUGACGGGGGCCCGCACAAGCGGAGGAACAUGUGGUUUAAUUCGAUGAUACGCGAGGAACCUUACCCGGGCUUGAACUGCAGCAGAACGAUUGAGAGAUCAUGAGGUCCUUCGGGACUGCUGUGGAGGUGCUGCAUGGUUGUCGUCAGCUCGUGCCGUGAGGUGUCGGCUUAAGUGCCAUAACGAGCGCAACCCCUCUCUUCAGUUGCCAUCACUUCGGGUGGGCACUCUGGAGACACUGCCACCGUAAGGUGUGAGGAAGGUGGGGAUGACGUCAAAUCAGCACGGCCCUUACGUCCGGGGCUACACACGUGUUACAAUGGGUGGUACAGAGCGUCGGCCGCCGGCAACGUCGGUCCAAUCGUGAAAUCCAUCCUCAGUUCGGACUGGGGUCUGCAACCCGACCCCACGAAGCUGGAUUCGCUAGUAAUC
rnacentral:rRNA from 1 species